ensembl:lncRNA novel transcript, antisense to ACSM5
GGAACUUCUCAGCCUCCAAAAUCGACAUUGCCCAGUGAUCCUGGGGAUGCCGUUUGGAAGCUGCACACCUUUGACAUCUUUAGGGUCGAAGAGAUGAUGCUCCCCAUGGGGACUGACCAGUGAUCCAUUAGUUUCUUGUGGAGUCUUCGGAGGUCUACGGGGCCUUCCUGGGGUGCACCUCAUUUCCCCCACUCCUGACUUCGCAAUUUACUCCUUUGGAUCUUUCCAGAAACCGUCUUUGGCAGUUCUGAAACAAAGGCCACCUAGUGACCAAACACAAAACAAAAAACACUUGGAAAUCAUCAUUUCUCAAAAAGACUUUUGUUUUGAAAGAGACAAUA